CCUCUCAUGGCGUAGUGGUAGACGCGCACCAACUAGAGAUCGGGGAGUCGUGAGUUCGAUUCUCACUGAGAAGA
rnacentral:tRNA from 1 species